rnacentral:rRNA from 1 species
CCUACGGGAGGCUGCAGUGGGGAAUAUUGGACAAUGGGCGAAAGCCUGAUCCAGCCAUGCCGCGUGUGUGAAGAAGGCCUUCGGGUUGUAAAGCACUUUCAGUGGGGAAGAAAGCCUUGGGGCUAAUACCCUCGAGGAAGGACAUCACCCACAGAAGAAGCACCGGCUAACUCCGUGCCAGCAGCCGCGGUAAUACGGAGGGUGCGAGCGUUAAUCGGAAUUACUGGGCGUAAAGCGCGCGUAGGCGGUCUGAUAAGCCGGUUGUGAAAGCCCCGGGCUCAACCUGGGAACGGCAUCCGGAACUGUCAGGCUAGAGUGCAGGAGAGGAAGGUAGAAUUCCCGGUGUAGCGGUGAAAUGCGUAGAGAUCGGGAGGAAUACCAGUGGCGAAGGCGGUCUUCUGGACUGACACUGACGCUGAGGUGCGAAAGCGUGGGUAGCAAACAGGAUUAGAUACCCCUGUAGUC